AUUGAACGCUGGCGGAAUGCUUUACACAUGCAAGUCGAACGGUAGAGGGGGCAACCCCUCGAGAGUGGCGAACGGGUGAGUAAUAUAUCGGAACGUGCCCAGUCGUGGGGGAUAACGUAGCGAAAGUUACGCUAAUACCGCAUACGAUCUAAGGAUGAAAGCGGGGGAUCGCAAGACCUAGCUCGAUUGGAGCGGUCGAUAUCAGAUUAGGUAGUUGGUGGGGUAAAGGCUCACCAAGCCAACGAUCUGUAGCUGGUCUGAGAGGACGACCAGCCAAACUGGAACUGAGACACGGCCCAGACUCCUACGGGAGGCAGCAGUGGGGAAUUUUGGACAAUGGACGCAAGUCUGAUCCAGCCAUUCCGCGUGCAGGAUGAAGGCCCUCGGGUUGUAAACUGCUUUUGUACGGAACGAAAAGGUCUCUCUUAAUACGGGGGACUCAUGACGGUACCGUAAGAAUAAGCACCGGCUAACUACGUGCAGCAGCCGCGGUAA
rnacentral:rRNA from 1 species